rnacentral:rRNA from 1 species
AGCGAACGCUGGCGGCAGGCCUAACACAUGCAAGUCGAACGCCGUAGCAAUACGGAGUGGCAGACGGGUGAGUAACACGUGGGGAUCUGCCCGAUGGUACGGAAUAACUCAGGGAAACUUGUGCUAAUACCGUAUGUGCCCGCAAGGGGAAAGAUUUAUCGCCAUCGGAUGAACCCGCGUCGGAUUAGCUAGUUGGUGUGGUAAAGGCGCACCAAGGCGACGAUCCGUAGCUGGUCUGAGAGGAUGAUCAGCCACACUGGGACUGAGACACGGCCCAGACUCCUACGGGAGGCAGCAGUGGGGAAUAUUGGACAAUGGGCGCAAGCCUGAUCCAGCCAUGCCGCGUGAGUGAUGAAGGCCUUAGGGUUGUAAAGCUCUUUCGCCGACGAAGAUAAUGACGGUAGUCGGAGAAGAAGCCCCGGCUAACUUCGUGCCAGCCGCCGCGGUAAUAC